ensembl:misc_RNA Metazoa_SRP Metazoan signal recognition particle RNA
GUUAGGUGUGGUGGCACGCACCUGUAGUCCCAGCUACUUGGGAGGCUGAGGUGGGGGUAUCACUUUAGCCCAGGAGGUUGAGGCUGCAGUGAGCCAAGAUCUUGCCACUGCACUCCAGCCUGGGUAACAGAGUGAGACCCUGUCUCAA